GAUGAACGCUGGCGGCGUGCCUAAUACAUGCAAGUCGUGCGAACGGACGAGAAGCUUGCUUCUCUGAUGUUAGCGGCGGACGGGUGAGUAACACGUGGAUAACCUACCUAUAAGACUGGGAUAACUUCGGGAAACCGGAGCUAAUACCGGAUAAUAUUUUGAACCGCAUGGUUCAAAAGUGAAAGACGGUCUUGCUGUCACUUAUAGAUGGAUCCGCGCUGCAUUAGCUAGUUGGUAAGGUAACGGCUUACCAAGGCAACGAUGCAUAGCCGACCUGAGAGGGUGAUCGGCCACACUGGAACUGAGACACGGUCCAGACUCCUACGGGAGGCAGCAGUAGGGAAUCUUCCGCAAUGGGCGAAAGCCUGACGGAGCAACGCCGCGUGAGUGAUGAAGGUCUUCGGAUCGUAAAACUCUGUUAUUAGGGAAGAACAUAUGUGUAAGUAACUAUGCACAUCUUGACGGUACCUAAUCAGAAAGCCACGGCUAACUACGUGC
rnacentral:rRNA from 1 species